ensembl:lncRNA
UGCAUGUGUGUGUUCAGAUGGAGAGAGACAGGCACGGAGGAGUUGGCGGGCAGAGACUGACUAUGGGGAACGCACUCGCUUGAUCACGGAGGCCACGGGGCUCCUGACCUUGCAGCGCCAUCUGGACACGGGAGACCCAGGGAAGCUGGUGCGGAAAUCCCAGUCUGUGCCCAAAGGCCUGAGAGCAGGAGGCAGUGCUGCCAAUUCCAUUCCAUCCGCGGGCAGGAGGCGCCACCCUGGCUGGCCCGGCAGGCUGACUGGCCAAGGGGCGAAUUCCCGCCCCCGCCCUGUGCUCUUCCCCUCUCCUGGACUGGGUGGUGCCAGCCACAGGCAGGGCAUCUGCUUUCUGGGCCCUCGCUCUGUCUCACCGGGGACACCCACAGGCACACCAGGAAUGAGGUCUCAUCCGGCAACACAGAUUUAACACACAUGCACAAAACGUGGGAUCGCCACUUGGCUAAAAGAUCUUGAAAGAAUAUCUCAGGGCCGUGCCUUACUGUGUGAGCUCCCGAAAUCAAGGUGCCAGGGCGCUGCUAUGGGAGGUGCUGUGGACCCAAAGGAGGGGCCUGGCAGGAGGCCUGCAGCUCUUCGAGGACGUGGCUUGGUGGAGGCCCAGCCUUUUGGCUAAGAGCGGAGAACAAGAGAAAAGGAGACACCAUCCAUCCCAUUUCAUGAGAGAACGUCGUGCCUGGCAAUCCUAAGCACUGCUGGAUGGAUGGAUGAACAAACGGGAAGAUGGACUGGGCCAGAUUCUCAGAGUGUUUAAGCAGGACACGAGCAUGCCUGUGCUUCUGCCCCGCAGACAUUUACCCGGGACUUCUGCCUAACGGUUGACUGCCAUGCCUACGUGUGGAAUUCGGUCCGUUGAUGUCUCCUAGAAACACUGCUGCUAGUGCUGCUGCUGCUGCUGCUGCUGCUGCUGCUGUGUGCUCUUCCUUCGGCUUCCAUGAGCUCCUUGACUGGCAGUGUCCCCAGGGCUCCAUUUGUCGCUUGGCUGCAGGCACUGGGUGCUGGUCUACAAGCUCCCUCUGGGCCCGGCGCCCUUUCUCACUGUGCAGCAGCAGAGGGCAUUGUCUAGGUACAGCUGCCAACGGUGGACUGCAGAAAGCGUAAUGCUGAGUCACUGCCCAUCAGCGAGCACUGUACGGGUUAAGGAGUAAUCUGGGAUGGGAGCGGCUGCCCAGAGGUGAACUGCGUCACUGCUUGUCAUUUCCACCCUACAAGAAGGAGUGUAUAGGGCUGGUCAGAAAAUAGGUGUGGGGCGGGGGAUUCAGCUCAGUGGUUCUGGUGCCUGCCUCCCAAGUGCAAGGCCCAGAGUUGAUCCCCAGUACCAAAAAGCAAAGCAAAACAAAUAUGGUGUGUUUCAAAUAAAAGAAAAAUUAUUGCAAUAAAAGACACAUUGGCAUCAAUCCCCCUCAGAAUCCUCCCCCUCACUUUGAACACACUUAUCCCAUUUUCUUGCCGCUUUCUGAAGCAGUUCUGGAGUCCUCUUUCAUGAGUGUCUUUACAAGGUGUAAUAAAAAAUAUGAGGAAUGCUGAUGCUGAGUGUCAUCCAACGGAAAACAUAAAAACACCACAGUGUGUUCUCAUCUACUUCAUUCACCACACCCAGCACUGUGGGACUUUUGGUUCUUCUCAAAAGUCAAAAUGACCAUGAAAGACGAACAGUUUGAUUCAAUUCAGGGCACUGAGGCAGACACAACAGUACAACUAGAAAAAUUCAUGAAAGAGGACUCGAAAACUGCUUCAGAAAGGAACAAGAAAAUGGAAUAAAUGUGUUUAAAGUAAGGGCAAGUGUGUUGAGAGGGAUUCAUAGCAAUGUAUCUUUUAUUAUAGUAAAUUUUUUAAAACUUAAAAAUUCAUAUUUUAAUGAUACUUCAAACAUCAUAUUAACUUUAUUCACUUCAUAGAUGUAUUACAUUGGGGUGCAGCUCUGUGGCAGAUCGCUUGCCGAACACAUACAAGAUAGCUCGAGAGUCAAUCCCCAACCCUGAAAAAAAUUACCUCAAAUGCUAAUGACAUUCGAUGGACUCCAAAACAUUUUUAAAUGAAAAAAUUGGAAGAGAUAAUUAAUAAGGAUUCGUCUAGCUUUUUGAUGAGCGUAUGAAGUCUUUGCAAGCUCUUACUGUUUCUCCAGGUGAGUCCUAUCUCCAUACAUGGUCACAAUUUCCUUCCCUGUCACCAGAAGGAACCGCACUCACCUGUGUGCCGUCAGAACAGCUCAAACAUCCAUCACACAGGCUGCCCGAGCCUGAGGGGAGCUGCUGCUUCAAGACGUUUGCUGUUCCUCAGCCUUGCUCAUGAUUUGCUAGGAGGUCGUCAUGCUGUCCUUCUGUGCUUCCCUCCGGUCCCAGACAGACCUGUUACUGGUCCACACUGCUCUGCACCCAUGGUCCCGUCUGCCCUGCUCUUCCCCUCCUUCGCCACCAUGCCCUUUUCUCGUCUCUCCUUGUCAAGCUCUUGCUCAGAUUCCCAAUUUCUAGGCUAGCGCUGACAUUCUCUGUCACCUUGUUUUUUGCUAUUCUUAUAUAGGAUUCUGUUUCUUUAUUAGUGCAUGUUGAUUACACCAAAUAAUGGGUGUCACCGCGGCAUAUUCAUGUGCACAUCCAUCCCCAUCAUACUUCAGUCAGGUCUGUCCCAGAGCCUUCUUCACCUCCCUCCAUCCCUUCCUCUCCUCUGUCUUCUUUCCAGAAGUCUGUGUUCUUUCACAUCAUCUCUUUUUUCUAUGCAUGAAAGAAAACAUGUGAUACUUGUCUUUCUGUAUCUAACUUACUUUACUCAACAUGUUGAUCUUCAGUUCUAUUUUUUUACAAAUGACAUAAUUUCAUUCCUCACUGUGACUGACUAAAGCUCCAUCGUGUAUGGAUUUCACUGUUUCUCCAGUCAUCUGUUGAAGGGGCAUCCAGGCUGGUUCCGUAACUUGGCGAUGUGACUUGUGCUGCAGCAAACAUGGAUGUGCAGGUAUCUCCACAGUAUGCUGACUUUAAUUCCUUUGAGUACAUACCUAGGAGGGAGGUAGUUGGAUCAUACUGUAGUUUUUUUUUUUUUUUUGGUUUUUAAUAUGAGUUCUAUAAAUACCUGAGUCCUGUGAUUUCCUUAUUUGCUUUGCAGUUCAUUUGCUUGGGAGGUGUGGGAAGAUUGUCUUAAAAAGGUGAAUUCCUCAUAUGACAGAGUCUGGCCACAGUGGGAUCUGAUCACACAAACGACCCAGGUGUUCUGAUGAAAGUUGCUGUCCACGCUUCAGGCAGUGUUUAGGAUUUAAAUGAAUGAGCUUCAGGGGAUCUGUGAACCUUCAGAAUUUUUUUACAUUCUAUAUCUUUAUGUCCAUUUGUAUUUUUCUAAGGGAAGGUUUCCUAACUUUCAACAGACUAUUAAAGGAGCCUGUGUCAGAAUUUUUUAAAAAGCAAUCUAUUAAACCAUUAAAUGAGGGUUUCAGAUAAAAGAAAACUUCUUUGUUAUUUGAGGACUAAAACAUAAAUUCAAUAUUGAGGUCUGAUACAUACAUUUUACUGUACAGGGUACUUUGAGACAUCACACACACAGAUCAUGCCUUUCAGAUUGGCUAAGGACACAUGCACACCUGGGCUGCUUUGUUUCAAGGUCUAGAGCCCCAAGGCCUAGCAUCAAAGAGGCGGCACGUGUCUAUCAUGUUGGAGGAAAGAGUGUGCCGAAUUCCAUCCGCGAUUUUCAUGAAAUCAGUAGCUAGAGGAUUAAGAGUCUUGUCUGCAGAUUCUGCCUGGAAAAGAGACAGCCCUGAAGUGUAAACAGUUUUGUGCACCAAGAUCAGUGUAGAGCCUGGUCUCUCAUUCAUCAUGUUCUGGCUCUGUAAUUCUAGACACGUCAUUAGUAUUCCUGGGCUUCUGACGAUGGACUUCUUAUAGCAAUAGUGAUCUUUCUGCCAGGACAUAGGAUCCUAUGAUAUCAUGAGGCUCCCCAGAAUAUAGGCAUGGAUGCAGGUAUACAUACACACAAACCUAUAUACGUAUAUAUGCACACAUACAUAAGAUAUGUAUAAGUGGUGAAGCCCAACCGACCUCCAUUGCUGCUUGACAAAGUUCCAGCUGGGGGAAAGAAAGCAGGGAACACAUCGUACCCUCAUGUUUUAUUUUUUUCUUGCCAUAAUGUUUAUAAUUGUUACUCUGGUCACGGGAGUCAUUGUGUUUGUGACUAACAACAAACUCUCCAUGAGGCAAAUUGGCAAUGAUAUAUUGAAAUCUGAUCUGGCUCAAAAGUCUCAAAUUCCAGUUUCUCUUAGUUCUAUUGCCACAUCCACUCCUAAAGAAACCUCUCCUAAAACCCCCUCUGUUUUCCCACUAUUAUAACUCCCUCUCUUACUGCUGACAUUCUUUUUACUAAAGGGGUCUUAUAAAGAGAUUGAAAGGACAGACUUUAGAUGUAAGAAAUAGUGGGAAAUGGGAAAUAAAAAGAACGUUAAAACAGGUAAAUGCAUUAAGGAGGCAAGUUACUCAAUAUUUCUCAAAGUGCUGUAAAUAUCUCCUGCUCAUGGACUAUGAACCCAAAUGACAUUUAGUUAAGAUGAAUAGAGGUAAAAAGAACAUAGAGAGCUAAUAGCAAACUGUAUUAACCAUUGUGCAGUUUCUCAAGGGCUAGCUGGUGACCACAAGUUUGACAUUUAAUUUGAUUGUUACUUUCUGUUCUGCUUAGGUAUGGGACAAUGAGGGAACAAUUGCAGUUUUUAAGAAAUGUAUUCAUGAUGUUCAAUGAAAUGAAUCAGCUUAGAAAAAAUAUACUGUUUAACAAAAAUAACCUGUACCUCAUCAGAUAUUGCUAAGGCAACAUGUUCCGCCCAAUGCCUCUUCGCUAUUGCUUAAAGAUAUAAAAAUAAAUCAGACCCUGAGACUUCUCAGAGGGAACCUGAACAUUGCUUGUAAAGGUUCUUUUCUCAUCGCUGGCCCAGGACAUCUCCCCUUCCUACCCUACAUCGACUGCAGCUGGUCUGCGACAUAUAAGAUUACUUACACUCAGGCACUGGAAAUGUAGACGAGUAUAAAGAAAUAAAAAUUCUCUAUAGUACAUCCCAGAGGUAACAGCUCUCAUCCAGUGUCUUUUUGUUCCUAAGUAAAAAUUCAGGCAGCCCUCAUUUUAGCUAGGCAUUGUCUAGAGACAUUCAACAUGUGUCUGAUAAAAUGAUACAGAAGCUAGGUACAGCACGUGCCUGUAGUCCCAGAUACUUGGGAGGUUGAGGCAGGAGGGCGGCUUGAGCCUAGGAGCUGCAGGCCAACCUGGCCAACAUAGUGAGACACUGUUAAAAAUAAACCGUAAAAUAACAUGAUGCUUGUACCAUGUUUCAUUUUUAUUUAAAAAACAAAUGUUAGCUCAAGGGAUAGGAUGAAGUUGAGAAUUAUAUAAGUAAUAAAUGCAUAAGCACAGUGCUUAUAUUUAUAUAAACAAAACAUCAAAUGCACUCUGUACAGCAGCUAUACACUUGGGCAAUGUAUGAUCAUUUUUUAAUAAUAGGCAUCUUUUAUCACAAAACACAAGAAUACCAUGGGGCUGCCACCUUCUAGAUGCUAUUUCAGGAUGGAAACAAAACUGCAAAAAUCAGAGUCUACUUACUGAUUUGCAACACAUCCC